AGCAACCUCUGGAACUCCAGCUGCGAUGGACUGCGUUUCCCAUGAUGCUUGGCGGGUUGCAAACAGGCGAAGCUACAAUCAAUACUCCUUUUAGUCUCUUACUACCAGCACUGCUGCUCGUCAUUGCGGAGACCUCUGUGCUCACCUUAGAGGGGUUUUUACGGUUUAGUUGCUGGGAAGCGGAAUAGUCUGCUCCAUUGAGCUCAGGUGGGUGUACGGGGUGCACAGCGCCAAGG